CAGGAAGUAAAUAUUUACGCAUAAUGAGAAGUCGAAACAAAUACACCGCACAAUUCAGAAAAACAACAUAAUAUUUUUUACCAACUGCUGCGCAUGCCUCUAAAAUGUUUUUCCUCUGAUGAUCGGAAGUAUUUUCCUCAGACUAGCUUCUGGUUCUGUACAUUUCAAAUCUGUUUCUGCUGUUUCUCCUCUGUUGCCUAUUCACUUUCAGGACCAGGCAGCAUAAAACACAUUCAGGUCACAAGAUGACCUCUGGAUGUGACAGCUUGAUGUCACAAUGCCGAAGAAGUUGGACAGCGAGUAGGAAGAUUUCUACCAGUCAUUCUCUACACAGAGGUGGCCAGCAAUGAUUUAUCUAUACUCAGAGGUGACUCAGAACCGCAUAAAUAUGUCCCACUGAACCCAAAGCAAAUUGAUCCCGAACUCAACUUCCCCAUAGCCAGAUCCCAGAAAUACCCAUGGCGCCUCCAACCACCUCACAUAAACGGAAACUGGGACACAAGGGAAGUUGGAGUAGAAAGAACUAGCAAUCUUAACUGAUUGUGGAUAAAACAUCUUACCUUCGCAAAUUUCCCAAGAACAUGAAGAGAUGAACACACUGCAGAGGCCCCUCCCUGGGCCUGAGGAGAGGCCCUGAUGCUCAGGAAGCUUUAGCUUCAUGCUGAGUCUGCCUCUGCGUUGAGCUGAGAUUUGAAGAGAAGAUCAGAUUCUUGUGCUUAAAACCUCCCAGGCUGGUCAGGGCCAGGAGACUCCAGGAGUCAUCACAAGAGAUUAAUGAGGUUGAGAGCCAGGGGCAGAGCAGACUGGCUGGGAAGACAAGAUUUGGACAUGAAAAGAUGAGAGAUCUACACUGUGACCUGAAUUGGGCAAUGCUCAGUUACACAGUAGAGGAGGCCCAGGCUCCUGAUUAUAAUGCUAUACUGCUUGGCGGUAAAAGGAAGUCUCUGGACAAGAUGACCUCUGAAGGCCUUUCCAGCUCAACUAUUCUUUGAUUUGCUGUCCCAUUUCUAGCUAUAUGAUGAAUAAACCAGCUUAUCCUCGAGAAGAAAGAAAUAAGGACUGUCUUUAGCCGUCUGAAAAGCUGUCAUAUUGGGCCCCUCCCAGCUCCUCCCAGCCAUUCGGAGCAGUAAGUGAAGAUGUCAGCACCUUGGACAGAGCCCAACGCAUUACAGUACUCGAAGCCAGCGGAAGCCAAGCUCUCCAACUCCUUUAGCCUCGGGGUGAUGGAUUUCCUCGUUUCUCAAUUUGAUUAAAGCCCAGUAGAUAACCAG
rnacentral:lncRNA from 1 species